GACGAACGCUGGCGGCGUGCUUAACACAUGCAAGUCGAACGGAAAGGCCCUGCUUUUGUGGGGUGCUCGAGUGGCGAACGGGUGAGUAACACGUGAGUAACCUGCCCUUGACUUUGGGAUAACUUCAGGAAACUGGGGCUAAUACCGGAUAGGAGCUCCUGCUGCAUGGUGGGGGUUGGAAAGUUUCGGCGGUUGGGGAUGGACUCGCGGCUUAUCAGCUUGUUGGUGGGGUAGUGGCUUACCAAGGCUUUGACGGGUAGCCGGCCUGAGAGGGUGACCGGCCACAUUGGGACCGAGAUUCGGCCCAGACUCCUACGGGAGGCAGCAGUGGGGAAUAUUGCACAAUGGGCGGAAGCCUGAUGCAGCAACGCCGCGUGCGGGAUGACGGCCUUCGGGUUGUAAACCGCUUUCGCCUGUGACGAAGCGUGAGUGACGGUAAUGGGUAAAGAAGCACCGGCUAACUACGUG
rnacentral:rRNA from 1 species